GAGCCGGCCUUAGAAGCCGAGUCGGAGAAGAUGCCUACCAAGGAAGAGGAAGAGGAUCUGGCUCUGAGGCGGAGGCUGCGGUUGGCGAGGGUGGAGUUGGAGACGGUUGCUUUCUAUGAUUUGAUUUCUAAGCCACAAAGGUAAGUUAUGAUGAAACAAACAUAUACAUUUUUUUAAUGCUGAAAAAAGCAUGGGCAAAAACAUGGGCAGGAAGCAGCCCCGGUAUGGUUACUGAAACCUCUGAAGCGAGGGAGGUGUCUGAGGAAGGCAGAGGCCGUUGGAAACUCGGGGACUGGUGGCCAUCCCUGGGCGCCUGCCUGGUGGAGCGCUGCGCAAUGAACGCUCCCCAUGCUGGGAGGGGGCGUGCUCCACGUGGACCCCGGGCCCCUCCCACCUCGCUCAUCCGCGCUUCCUCUCUGCCCACCAGAGCUCUGCAUUUGCUUCUGCUUAUGCAGACUGCAAAUAAGGAGGCAGGUGGAGAAAGAAAAAUCAGCAGAGGCGACUGAGAAAGAGAGGUCAGAAGGUAGGGGGAGACCCUGGAAGAGCAGCAGCAAAGAAGUUGAGAAAAGAAAGUUCCAGAAGAGGGCAGUGGCCCACCUGUCCAGCGCUGAGGGGCUUGGCUGUGCAUAUCUUAAAGGAAGGUGUUAUGCUGUCCUGUACUUUGCAGCCUCCUUUCCACCAGAUGUGACCACUGGUCCUGCUGGUUACUCCUGUGGGCCCUGAGAAAGACAUCUACUGUCUCUGAGAUUCAAUUGACUUCUCAAUUGCAGCAAGAAGAACACUUCAAGACUGUUGGGUGGAUUAUGAGAAUACAUUGGGAAAAACAGACCUGGAGGAAGGAAGGAAAAAAUAAUGACAGAACAAAAGGAAACCAGAAAUCCAAAAUGAGUCCAGCCAACAGGGUAUUGUUUCUAAAAGAAAAUUAUCUAAAAUCUGAACUACCAGAAAUGGGAAGAGAAAAAUCUGAAUUUUCAUUAUUUGCCUCUUUUUCACCAUUAACUUUGCUGAUUCUGUCUAGGAUUACCAUCCAGCAGAAGAGACUGUAAACAAAUCCAAUCUUUCCAAUAUGCUAAAUAAUGAACUUCAUAACGUGACCACGAUGAUGGGUCUUGUCUUCCUGGAAGUUGCAAUCUACUUAAUUUUUCCAACUAAGGAACAUUGGCUGUGGUUUUGAAAGGUUACUGAGAAAAGGGUUUUAAAAGGUGAUACAAAGCAAACAAAAUCUUGGUUCUAUUCUUCACAGAAAAUGAAUCUCAUUUAAAAUGUUUUAAACUUUUAAGUGAUGGAAGCCAUUUUAAGGCUUUGUCCAUCCUUCACCUUCAUGAAAAGGCCAUGGAUUCUGUCACGAUGGACCAUGUCUGCUCUUGGGCAAUGAGUGGGGGUUCAUGGUUGUGGUCCACGGCAUCUCUACCUGGAGAAUAAGAGCAAAGCUGUUUCCCUGAUAACCACACCCCACAUUCAUCCAUUGGCAAAUCGUGUCACUGUCAAAAUGCUCCUAAUUCGAGUUACUUCCCAUCUCUUCCAUCAUGAGCCCUGGUCCAACUCCACCCGCAUCUCUCAAUUGAAAUCUUAUGAUAGCUUCUGUCAUUUCCCAUUUCCCCUCCUGCCCCCUUCCAUCCCACUCUCUACACAGCAGCUAGAGUAAUCUUUUAAAAAUGACUUCCAGUUAUACUAAGAACAAAACCUAAUGUCCCCACCAUGGUCUUUAAGGCCCUACCUGAUCUGGCCCCUAGCUCUCUCAGUGGCAUCCUCUUUCUGCCACUCACUCUCUUGUUCUCCACUGCACUCCAGUGACGUUGAUCUUCUUCCCAUGCCUCAAACAUGCAAAGUUCAUCCCCACCUCAGGGCCUUUGCACUAGCUGUUCCCUCUCCCUGGAAUGCUCUUCCCUCAUAUAUUCAAGUCUCAAUCCCUUCUUUCAGAUUUCUGCUCAGUGUCACCUCUUCAAAGAUGCCUUCCCUGACUGACUAAUCUAAAACAGCCUCAUCUCCCCAAGUCAUGGUCUAUUGCCUCACCCUUCUAAAUUUUCUUCUAUCAGUCAUAAUAAUCUGAUAUUAUGUUAUACAUAUAUUUGUGGACUUCCUCAUUGUCAGACAUCCCUACUAGAACAUAAGCCCCUUGAAGGCAUGGAUUUUGUCUCAUUCAUGGCUAAAUUAUUUAGCACCUAGAAUAUUCCUCAGUCCUCAGCAAAUAUUCAUUGAAUGAAUGAAUGAAUCAAUCAAUCGAUGUCUCCUGUGAGCUGAAGACCUAAGAGUUAUAAAAUUCAAACAUAUCCCUACUUCUUUAAGUAAAAUAUUUUAGACCAUUAUGAAAAGCAGGUGGUUGCUUAUAUGCAUAAAGUGAUCCAAGUAGCAAAAACUCGCUCAUCCUGUGACAUGGAACACCAUUGUCAUGUUGCUGUCAUCCCAGGAGCAUCCCUUGUAAAGAAGUCCAUUUGACCCAGCCAUCCCAUUACUGGGUAUAUACCCAAAGGACUAUAAAUCAUGCUGCUAUAAAGACACAUGCACACGUAUGUUUAUUGCGGCACUAUUCACAAUAGCAAAGAGUUGGAACCAACCCAAAUGUCCAACAACGAUAGACUGGAUUAAGAAAAUGUGGCACAUAUACACCAUGGAAUACUAUGCAGCCAUAAAAAAUGAUGAGUUCGUGUCCUUUGUAGGGACAUGGAUGAAACUGGAAAACAUCAUUCUCAGUAAACUAUCGCAAGGACAAAAAACCAAACACCGCAUGUUCUCACUCAUAGGUGGGAAUUGAACAAUGAGAACUCAUGGACACAGGAAGGGGAACAUCACGCUCCUGGGACUGUUGUGGGGUGGGGGGAGGGGGGAGGGACAGCAUUAGGAGAUACACCUAAUGCUAAAUGACGAGUUAAUGGGUGCAGGAAAUCAACAUGGCACAUGGAUACAUAUGUAACAAACCUGCACAUUGUGCACAUGUACCCUAAAACCCUAAAGUAUAAUAAAAAAAAAAAAAAAAGGAAAAAAAAAAAAAAAAAAAAAAAAAGUCCAUGGGGAAUGGCAGUAACGAAACCCUUUUGGUGAGGCAGGUUCUGGACUGAUGGUCUCAAACCAAAUGCUGUUUGCUAUGGAGUGAAUGGGUUCCCCAAAAUUCAUAUAUAUGUUGAAACCCUAACUUCCAAUGUGAUGAUAUUGGGGUGGGGGGCUUUGAGAGGUGACACAGGUUAAAUGAGAUCAUAAGUGUGGGGCCCCAUGAUGGGAUCAGUGUCCUUAGAAGAAGAGGAAAAGCCUGGGGCUGGCUCCCUCAGCCACACGAGGACACAAGGAGAAGGCACCACCCGCAAACCAGGAAGCCACCCUCACAAGAUACCUGAUCUGCUGGACUCUUGAGCUUGGACUUUCCAGCCUCCAGAACUUCAAGAAGUCUGUUGUUUAAGCCACCCAAUCUAGGGUAUUUUGCCAGCCUAAACAGACUAAAACACAGCUCCACGGCAAAGGAUGAAACAGCAGUGCCCACACACCAAAAGUGUUCUCUGAUCCCCAGUGGAAGUUUAGCUACAAGAGUUUUAUGAGCUACAGGAGGCAAAUGGGAUUAAAACUGGGCAGGUUAUCAGCAUUUUCUAAUUUUUUUUUCUCUUCAAGUUUCAGAACUGAAUACAUCAUCUAACCACAAACAAAAGUAGUGUCAAACACAGUUCCACUUCACCAGAGCUAUUAAGAACCCAUAUGAAUCAAAUUAAUAUUAAGCACAGGAGGUAAAAAUCUGCUCAGCUGUCCCAGCAUAACAACCACUGAACUCAAUGCAAUGGAAACAGAUAACAGCCAUAAGCGGCUUUAACCUAUUAAUAAACUCCCAAGUUUAGCUUGACAGAUGUUUUUGCACUAUUCUCUGGAUAUACUACCACCUUUAUCUGAAUUUGCUGUUUUCUAUUUUAACUUUUGUACAUGAAAAGAAAUAAAGUAGGACAAGAGAGUA